GUGGGGAAUCUUCCGCAAUGGACGAAAGUCUGACGGAGCAACGCCGCGUGAGUGAUGAAGGUCUUCGGAUUGUAAAGCUCUGUUAAUCGGGACGAAAGAGCCUAGUGUGAAUAAUGCUAGGAAGUGACGGUACCGGAAUAGAAAGCCACGGCUAACUACGUGCCAGCAGCCGCGGUAAUACGUAGGUGGCAAGCGUUGUCCGGAAUUAUUGGGCGUAAAGCGCGCGCAGGCGGAUCUGCCAGUCUGUCUUAAAAGUUCGGGGCUUAACCCCGUGAUGGGAUGGAAACUACAGAUCUAGAGUAUCGGAGAGGAAAGUGGAAUUCCUAGUGUAGCGGUGAAAUGCGUAGAUAUUAGGAAGAACACCAGUGGCGAAGGCGACUCACUGGCCCAAUACUGACGCUGAGGCGCGAAAGCGUGGGGAGCAAACAGGAUUAGAUACCCCUGUAGUCC
rnacentral:rRNA from 1 species